rnacentral:rRNA from 1 species
AUGAACGAUGUGAGGAACCAAGAGAAAAAGAAGGGCAAGGAAAAGGGAGGAGGAGGAGGAGGAGGAAGAAGAAAGAGAAGAGGAGGAGGGAGGCUGAGCAUCAUCUGGCGAUGCGUCGUCGUGCUGCUCUGCCGCCAUGACUGA